GAUCCUGGCUCAGGAUGAACGCUGGCGGCAUGCCUAAUACAUGCAAGUCGAGCGAGAGGAAGGAAAGCUUGCUUUUCUGAAUCUAGUGGCGAACGGGUGAGUAACACGUAGGUAACCUGCCCAUGUGCCCGGGAUAACUUCUGGAAACGGAUGCUAAAACCGGAUAGGUAGCAGACAAGCAUUUGACUGCUAUUAAAGUGGCCUUGGCCAUGAACACGGAUGGACCUGCGGUG
rnacentral:rRNA from 1 species